AUGUCCUUAGUCCUUACUGUAGGUCGUCAAUUUCCUGACAAGGCAAUUGACCUGAUUGAUGAGGCUUGUGCCACGGCAACCAAAACGAUGAUGCCAGUUGGCGACCAAGAAGAGAAUGUGAACACUGUGCAGAGUACCUCUAAAAAUGCAGCCAAGGAGGCAAUUGUUUCCCCAAAUCAUGUUGCGCAAGUUGUGAGCCAAUGGACUGGAAUUCCUGUCGCUGCGCUUGACCAAGAGGAGAAGCAUAGACUAAUCCACCUACCAAGCAGACUACGCGAGCGAGUUGUUGGCCAGGAUGAAGCCGUAAAUCUGGUUGCGCAAGCAGUGUUACGUUCCAGGGCCGGCUUUGGUCAGCCUGGCCAACCCAUAGGCUCUUUCCUCUUCUUAGGCUCGACUGGUGUUGGAAAGACAGAGCUUGCAAAAGCUCUAGCGGAGCAGCUAUUUGACAGCGAGAAGAUGCUGGUUCGCUUUGACAUGUCUGAAUUUGUUGACAGGGGAUCUGUGCUGCGUCUCAUCGGAGCCCCUCCAAGCUACAAUGGCCAUGAAGACGGUGGACAGCUGACGGAGAAAAUCAGGAGACGCCCAUACAGUGUUAUCCUAUUUGAUGAGGUGGAGAAGGCAGAUCCGUCGGUGUUGAACCUUUUCGUGCAACUUCUGGAUGAUGGUGUGUUGACGGAUGGGAAAGGCCGGACCGUGGAUUUCAAGAAUACCAUCAUCAUCAUGACCUCAAAUCUAGGAGCGGAGCAUCUAACAGCUGGAAUGGCUGGAAACGGCACGAUGGAAGCUGCACGGGACCUUGUGAUGCAUCAGGUGCAGAAACACUUCAAACCUGAGCUUUGCAACAGGAUGAGUGAGAUUGUGAUAUUUGAGCCGCUUUCGCGCGACAAACUGAAGGAGAUUGUGAAAAUCCAGAUGAAGAGGAUUGUCGCCAGAGUCGCUAGCAAGGGCAUUUGUCUGUCUGUGAGCGAUGCCGCGUUGGAGGUGGUUUUGUCGGAAUCGUACAACCCGGUAAGGACAGCUUGUUUCGUUUCAGGCCCGAGGGCUCAUGUUUUUCUUUUCUUUUGUCUGCAUGUUUUGGUGGUAAACUAUCGUCAUCCAUUGUUAAUUUGGUUGACAGAUGUAUGGUGCGAGGCCUGUAAAGAGGUGGUUGCUGAAGAACGUGAUGACUGA
rnacentral:rRNA from 1 species